rnacentral:rRNA from 1 species
AGCAGCCGCGGUAAUUCCAGCUCCAAUAGCGUAUAUUAAAGUUGUUGCAGUUAAAAAGCUCGUAGUUGAAUUUCGGAAUCUGUCCAUUGGUCGGGCUUCACUGUCCGUACUGGUGUGGUGGGUUCUUACCUUCUGAAUAACCAGCAUGCCAUUUAUUUGGUGCGUUGGGGAAGCAGGACUAUUACCUUGAAAAAAUUAGAGUGCUCAAAGCAGGCUAGUGCCUGAAUACAUUAGCAUGGAAUAAUAAAAUAGGACGGCAUGGUUCUAUUUUGUUGGUUUCUAGGAUCACCGUAAUGAUUAAUAGGGAUAGUUGGGGGCAUUAGUAUUCAAUUGUCAGAGGUGAAAUUCUUGGAUUUAUUGAAGACUAACUUCUGCGAAAGCAUUUGCCAAGGAUGUUUUCAUUAAUCAAGAACGAAAGUUAGGGGAUCGAAGACGAUCAGAUACCGUCGUAGUCUUAACCAUAAAC